AUUGAACGCUGGCGGCAGGCCUAACACAUGCAAGUCGAGCGAGCGGCGGACGGGUGAGUAAUGUCUGGGAAACUGCCUGAUGGAGGGGGAUAACUACUGGAAACGGUAGCUAAUACCGCAUACCAUCAGAUGUGCCCAGAUGGGAUUAGCUAGUAGGUGGGGUAAUGGCUCACCUAGGCGACGAUCCCUAGCUGGUCUGAGAGGAUGACCAGCAACACUGGAACGGAGACACGGUCCAGAGUCCUACGGAAGGCAGCACGGGGGAAUAUUGAACGAUGGGUGCAAGCCUGAUGCAGCCAUGCCGCGUAUGUGAAUAGGGCCUUGGGGUUGUAAAGCACUUUCAGCGGGGAGACGUUACCGGCAGAAGAAGCACCGGCUAACUCCGUGCCAGCAGCCGCGGUAAUAC
rnacentral:rRNA from 1 species